UCAAAGCUUGUUAACACUACUAUCUAAUGAUGACGUGCACAUGGAAGGAUCUCGGGCUGAUAAUGCUCCGGCACGUGGUUUAGAUACUCAACUUGCACACCCAGAGAAUACUCGUCGGGCUUUUGUUCCGACGGACUAUUUCCGAAACGGUUGUACACGGCAUUCCGUGUUUUUCUUUUCUUUUUCUCACAAAUAUCCUCUCUCUCCUCUAAAGAUGGCUCAUCCUAGAAGCCCUCGGAUAGAGAUCUAAAUAGUUUAAAUACAUGAAAAGAGACAAAAGAGGAGCCGCAACCAACUCUAAAGUCUAUAAUCCAUGACUAAGCCACCCAAUUUGUGAAUUUUUCCACAGUUAAUUUUGCUAGCCAAUCUCACCAAAUCAGCCUGUCAUUAUUUGUUGGAGUCCUUCUCAGACACUACGUUCAUCCGGUUAAUAUGUACAACUCUCAUUGUGAUUUGGCCUGCGUACCAACUAAACCGCUCCUAUUGCUCUCUAAAAAAAUCUCUAUGGGCAUGCAAAUAUAAGAUAGCGUCCUAAACACUGCUGCAAUAAUACUUAUCUAUCUCUUUUAAAUCAUCCCAUAACUCGUCGUCUGUAUUCAACUCUGGGAAAAUAUCAAGGUUGAGAAAGUAGCGCAAAUAAUCAAGGUCUUUAGUGGCAACAUUUCCCAUAUAUUGCGCCUGUCGAUAUUCAUCAGAACUUAAAACCUCCCUCUCACAGCUUUCGAUAGUAGUUAUUAUGUCUCUCCCAAGAACUUUCUCGAUGCCGUGUAUAAUAUCCCUAUGAUAGUCCGACUUAUUUUUGUCUCUUAUUAUGUGCUGAAACAAAUCGGACCUUAUAUCUAACGUUUCAUUGCAGAACCUCGCUGUUGUGUGAUCAAAAUCCGUCAAAAUGGCCAUUAAUUCUUCCUUUGAAACUUUUUUAUACUGCCGAUAAACUAAACAGCACACGCGAACAAAAAUGAAGAUACAUGUGAUCUCCAUUAAAACUAUCCUUCCCGGAUGAUUAUAUUGCUUCUCUGCACCAUUUUCUGAGCACGUAAUGCGGUCGAACAAACUCGCUACUCCACAAAAUAGAGAAAUAUGGUAAACAUCGAUUCCGGCGGGGGCUUUUACUGCUUCGAGUAAAAUGUUCAACCCCAUCUCGCUUAUGGGCCGAACGUGUUCCUUGAUUUUUAUAUUAUCGUUCGCACGUAGAAUGAAAGUAAAAGUUUCAACUGUAGUUUGAAGGAUAUCUUUAUCAUACUCACCUAUCUGAUCACUGAUUAGAUUGCUACUUGUACCAUGAAAAAUACUCUUAAACCGCAUCAACAAGUUCCCUAUAGCCUUAAGACAUGAUAUUCGACUGUAUGCAAAGUGUAUGCAAAACCUGAAAACAUCAUCGUCCAGCAAGCUUUUUUCAAGCUCAUGCACAACCGUUGUUUUCAACACCGUGAAUCCCUUCCUUAUUCCAUUUAUUCUUGUUAGUAGUUCCUCCACAACUUUGAAAUCCAACGCAGUGAUCCCCGAAAACAUUCUAUAAUCCGUAAACUUGCGAUUGUAAAGUACAUUUGAAAACACAUCAUUGAUGCUAAUCGAGAGAACAAUGUAUCCAAACAUGAUGUGGUCCUUCAACGAUCCAUAAGUAAAAUCAACACGUUCUAGCAUUUGCCAACUUGACAUCGCAUCAUCUACUCCAAGUCUCAUUAUUUGUUGGGGGAGUAAACAUGUCACGGUUGAGCUAUCAAUCAUCGGUAGCUUUCCGGUGACUACCACGUACCAUUUGUCCCACCAGUAAGUGUCCCACCAUAUUUCACGGAGGUGGUUUGCAUGCUCUUCAUUCAUCCCAAGAUAAUAUUCCCAUCGGCUCAAUCCCAGAUCUUGCACUUGUCUACAUAAUGGUGCGAUAACCCCACCUAUUAUAAAUGAAUUGUCUUUCCAGUGCCGCUGCUUAACAAAGCAUAACAAAUCAUGUAGAAAUUCAGCGUCGAGUAAUCUAAAAUUUAGGGAAUUUUCCAAAAGUGUGUAACAGAGCGUAGACAGCAGUUCUUCAACUUGAAAAAAAUGCUCAAAGAUAUUGAUAUUUCUUAACAAGUGGCGAGAUGACGUGAAGUGUUUGCCUAAAAGUUUCACACAAUACAUAAAUAGUUUUCUGGAGUCCUGAAUAGAAUUUCCGCCCUCCUCUUUUAGUUCACUUCUCAAUGAUGGUGGGAUAGCAUCAAUCGCUUCCUUCAAAGUCUGAUUUCGAGUGAAGGGUACCUUACACCCAAAGAACUCUAUCAAAAUAAACUGCAACCGAUACACAGGCGCUAUCAAUUCCCAUUUGUAGCUGGAGCUCCCUGCAUCUAAAAACUUUAGAAGAAUAUAUACAGUCUCUUCCGUAUCCUUCUCUCUGGACUUUACUAUAAGCUGUUGUAUUAGCCAGCAUAUUCCUUUUGGUGACAUUACUGAUAUAGGCGAAUAGAGGCCAAAAAUAACAUCCACUGCCUUUCCUUUGCUAACAUUUUCAAAAGUACUAAAAGCAUCAAACGCAACAUAAUUACCGCCUAGCAGCUGAUUUUCGAGUGCGCCGUUAUCCUUGUAUGUACGAACUGAUUCUGAAUUUAUAUUAACAUGUU
rnacentral:lncRNA from 1 species